AACCUAUUACCUAUAUCAAAACCCAUAUCGGCAUAUCAUUUCAGAUUGUUCAAAAAAUCAAAACCCAUAUCGGCAUAUCAAUUCAGAUUGUUCAAAAAAUCAAAACCCAAAUCUUUCAGUUUCCAUAGCCCGCUGUUCCAGUUCGGGUUCGCCGUUCGAAAGCUUCUGCCGCUGUCCCGCUGUCUCUCAACUCUCAAGCUUGCCCGCCUCUCUCUCUGCUACUGCUAACUUGUAUGGUUAGCAUCGGGCCUUAACAUUUAGCAAGAACAAGGUUCAAGAAACAUGCCUCCUUAGUCAUCUGGUCUCUUUUCCGAAAGAAGAGAGUUGAUUGGGAAUGGGUGGAGUAGGGAAAAAGAAAUUAGAUAUUGCCGGAGAAAUGGCAGUUGUAAGCGUCAACACUGACAUAGCUGACUUGCAAUACCAAUUUUUACACCUCGGGGAAUCCAAGUUGGGUACCCAUGUUCCCCGCAAAGUUGGGCUGGUAUUGUACAAUACCAGCGAUAACCUUGAAGCGAACCUUGCCGAAGCCGACCGAGAUUGCGACAAGAUAAAACAAUACAAGUCAGAUUUCAUCGUAGAUUAUCACUUCAUCAGUAGCCAGGUACCACACGGUAGUAUGGCUCUAGAAGAAUUUCAUUCCACUUUGGACAUUUUUAUUGAGCAUAACAAAGAAUUCACAAAGGAACUAAACUAGCAAUACACACCGGAACAAAGAGCACGAUUCAAGAAAGCUUCUAGUUCUACCACAUGCAUUCUAGAUUUUGGAGGAUCUUUUGGGGUGUCACAAACGGACUGAAGACAUUGUUCUCUAAGGACAUUGUCAUGGUAUCCUUGAAAACGGAAUCACACUUAAGUGGAGCAAUACUACUGGGAUUGAAGCCAAACUACUCCUGGCUACACCAGGAGAAUAUAGUGAUAAAGUGAUGGAAGAUGAUCUACGGAUAUGGAAACUUAUGGUCAAAUUCUUAUGUAGAGACCAAAUGAAUAUGAAGGAUCAAUCUGGAUGUGAGAGCUCCCACCCUCCCCGACCUUAUGACUUGCCACUGUCCAAUGAUUUAGAUUUUUCCUCCGGGGGCUGAAAAGAAAUAGGCCACCCACGAUAGAGUAGGAAUGAAUCCAUCCCUAGGGUUUUGUACUACAUGCCAUACUUUAUGCCGUCCCCGUCCCAGAAAGACAUAGUUAAAGAGUCCCUGUGCUCAGCAAUGGGUAAUCUAAAUUCUCUUUGCAUUAUGUUACAAAAUUCUUCAUCUGAGGUCACUUGUUUGUCAUGAUAAUGAAAGAGCCCAUCUCUGUAUAGCUUAACCAAAUCAGCCAUAGCAACGCAUUGAGCAGUACGUUGUUGAUAUUUUCCAUAAUAAGAAACUCUUCCUCAUUCGUUAUGUUUUAACACUUGCUUUAGUAGACUGUUAUUGUUUUUUCAGCUCUUCCCAUCCCUCCUUAUUUUUGGAACCAUUCUGGUUUUUGGAUUUGAAAGAUUGGGGUAAAGGGCAGUUUAGACCGGCAAACGCGUCAUCGUCAUCAUUAGUAUGUAUUUUUCAGAUUUUUCUCACGAACCUAUUCUUCUGGAUAGGAGUCCAAAACUAGAAGUCAUCUAUGACCCAUUCAUAGUAUUCCUUGCAACUAUAUCACGAAAAAGAAAACAUAAAAAAGUAAGUUCAUUCUUAGAAGAUAAUAAACAUCAAUCAUUUUUUAUUAGGAGAAACAAAAUUUCCUUCUUACUCUGCCAUGGGUGGCCUAUUUCUCUUCAGCUCCCGGAGGAAAAAAUCUAAAUCCUAAACAAAAAGCACGAUUCACAUUGAAACAAAGAGAAAGCUUCUGGUUCAACCACAUGCAUUCUAGAUUUUGGAGGAUCUUUGGGGAGUGAAAAACGGAUUGAAGACAUUGUUCUCUAAGGGACAAUGUCAUGGUAAACUUGAAAACAGAAUUGUGUUUAAGUGGAGCAAUACUGCUGCGAUUGAAGCCAAACUACUCCUGGCUACACCAGGAGAAUACAAUGAUAAAGUGAUGAAUGAUGAUCUACGGACACUAUGGAAACUUAUGGUCAAAUUCUUAUGUAGAGACCAAAUGAAUAUGAAGGAUCAAUCCAGAUCUUACCCUCCCGGGCCUUAUGACUUGCCACUGUCCGGUGAUUUAGAUUUUUUCCUCUGGGAGCUGAAGAGAAAUAGGCCACCCACGGCAAAGAAUAGUAUGAAUGGGUCAUAGAAGACUCCUAUUUUUGGACUCCUAUCUAGAAGAAUAGGUUUGUGUGAAAAAUCUGGAAAAUAGAUACUAAUGACGACGAUGACGCGUUUACUGGUCUAAACUGCCCUUUACCCCAAUAUUUCAAAUCCGAAAACCAGAAUGGUUCCAAAAAUAAGGAGGGAUGGGAGGAGGUGAAAAACAAUAACAGUGGACUAAAGCAAGUGUUAAAACAUAAUGAAGGAGGAGGAGUUUCUUAUUAUGGAAAAUAUCAACAAUGUACUGCUGAGUGCAUUGCUAUGGCUGAUUUGGUCAAGCUAUAUAGAGAUGGGCUUUUCAUUAUCAUGACAAACAAGUGACCACGGAUGAAAAAUUUUGUAACAUAAUGGAAAGAGAGUUAAGAUUUCCCAUUCCUGAGCUCAAGGACUAUUUAACUAUGUCUCUCUGGGCAGGGAUGGCAUAAAGUAUGGCAUGCAGUACAAAACCGUAGGGAUGGAUUCAUUCGGGUCGACAAUUAAGAAACUUCUCAGUUCAACUGACUUUUAGAUAUGGAAUUAAAUAUCACACGGAAUUUGAAGUUGCUGAUCUUUUCGAUGAUUAUGUUACAAUUGUGGCUGUGACAGGCAACCCUCGAAAUUUUUGUUUGUAAUAGAAAAUGGGUAGUUCUUUGAUUGUUACUGAACCUGUGACUCAUCUUUGAAAAUUUGCUCCUUUCAGUGUAUUGUGUAAAUUUGUUUCAUAUGGCUUAGUUCUGAGUAUAUUUUUUUGCUAUAUAAAAAACUUUCCCAUUA